UACGAAGGGGGCUAGCGUUGCUCGGAAUGACUGGGCGUAAAGGGCGCGUAGGCGGCGGUCACAGUCAGAUGUGAAAUUCCUGGGCUUAACCUGGGGGCUGCAUUUGAUACGUGGUUGCUUGAGUGGGGAAGAGGGUCGUGGAAUUCCCAGUGUAGAGGUGAAAUUCGUAGAUAUUGGGAAGAACACCCGUGGCGAAAGCGGCUCCCUGGAACGGUACUGACGCUGAGACGCGAAAGCGUGGGGAGCGAACAGG
rnacentral:rRNA from 1 species